rnacentral:rRNA from 1 species
AUUGAACGCUGGCGGCAGGCCUAACACAUGCAAGUCGAGCGAGCGGCGGACGGGUGAGUAAUGUAUGGGGACUGCCCGAUAGAGGGGGAUAACUACUGGAAACGGUGGCUAAUACCGCAUACUAUCGGAUAACCCAUAUGGGAUUAGCUAGUAGGUGGGGUAAAGGCUCACCUAGGCGACGAUCUCUAGCUGGUCUGAGAGGAUGAUCAGCCACACUGGGACUGAGACACGGCCCAGACUCCUACGGAGGCAGCAGUGGGGAAUAUUGCACAAUGGGCGAAAGCCUGAUGCAGCAAUGCCGCGUGUAUGAAGAAGGCCUUAGGAUUGUAAAAUACUUUCAGCGGGGAGGCGUUACCCACACAGGAAGCCCCGGCUAACUCCGUGCCAGCAGCCGCGGUAAUAC